UACGUAGGUGGCUAGCGUUGUCCGGAUUUACUGGGCGUAAAGAGCGCGCAGGCGGUCGUUCAAGUCGAGUGUGAAAGCCCCGGGCUCAACCUGGGAAUUGCAUUCGAGACUGCGUAGCUAGGAUGCGGAAGAGGGAAGCGGAAUUUCCGGUGUAGCGGUGAAAUGCGUAGAUAUCGGAAGGAACACCAGUGGCGAAAGCGGCUUCCUGGUCCAGCAUCGACGUUCAGGCACGAAAGCGUGGGGAGCAAACAGG
rnacentral:rRNA from 1 species